rnacentral:rRNA from 1 species
UAGGGAAUAUUGGGCAAUGGCCGAGAGGCUGACCCAGCCAUGCCGCGUGCAGGAAGAAGGCCUUCUGGGUUGUAAACUGCUUUUAUCAGGGAAGAAAACGCUCCUGCGGGAGUAACUGACGGUACCUGAUGAAUAAGCACCGGCUAACUCCGUGCCAGCAGCCGCGGUAAUACGGAGGGUGCAAGCGUUGUCCGGAUUUAUUGGGUUUAAAGGGUGCGUAGGCGGCCCGUUAAGUCAGUGGUGAAAUCCCAGGGCUCAACCCUGGAACUGCCAUUGAUACUGGCGGGCUUGAGUUCGGUCGAGGCGGGCGGAACUGGUGGCGUAGCGGUGAAAUGCAUAGAUACCACCAAGAACCCCAAUUGCGUAGGCAGCUCGCUAGGCCGAAACUGACGCUGAGGCACGAAAGCGUGGGGGAGCGAACAGGAUUAGAUACCCUGGUAGUCCACGCCGUAAACGAUGAGUACUCGAUGUUGGCGAUACACAGCCAGCGUCCAAGACG